AAACAUGUCUUUUUGAGUUAAAUUUAAAGUCUGACCUGCCCACUGAAUAAUUUUAAAUGGCCGCAGUAUUUUGACUGUGCAAAGGUAGCAUAAUCAUUAGUCUUUUAAUUGAAGGCUGGUAUGAAUGGUUGGACGAAGUAUAAUCUGUUUCAUAUAAAUUUAUAAUAGAAUUUUAUUUUUUAGUAAAAAAGCUAAAAUUUUGUUGAAAGACGAGAAGACCCUAUAAAUCUUUAUAUUUAAUAUUAUUUUAAUUUUUUGGAUUUAUUUUAUUAUUAUAAUAUUGAAUAUUUUGUUGGGGUGAUGUUAAAAUUUAAUGAACUUUUAAUUAUUUAAGAUCAUUAAUUUAUGAAUUGUUGAUCCAAUAUUUAUUGAUUAUAAGAUUAAGUUACUUUAGGGAUAACAGCGUAAUUUUUUUUGAGAGUUCAUAUCGACAGAAAAGUUUGCGACCUCGAUGUUGGAUUAAGGUAUAAUUUUGGGUGUAGCUGUUCAAAUAUUAAGUCUGUUCGACUUUUAAAUCCUUACAUGAUC
rnacentral:rRNA from 1 species